rnacentral:rRNA from 1 species
AUUGAACGCUGGCGGCAGGCCUAACACAUGCAAGUCGAACGGUAACAGGAAGCAGCUUGCUGCUUUGCUGACGAGUGGCGGACGGGUGAGUAAUGUCUGGGAAACUGCCCGAUGGAGGGGGAUAACUACUGGAAACGGUAUCUAAUACCGCAUAACGUCGCAAGACCAAAGAGGGGGACCUUAGGGCCUCUUGCCAUCGGAUGUGCCCAGAUGGGAUUAGCUAGUAGGUGGGGUAACGGCUCACCUAGGCGACGAUCCCUAGCUGGUCUGAGAGGAUGACCAGCCACACUGGAACUGAGACACGGUCCAGACUCCUACGGGAGGCAGCAGUGGGGAAUAUUGCACAAUGGGCGCAAGCCUGAUGCAGCCAUGCCGCGUGUAUGAAGAAGGCCUUCGGGUUGUAAAGUACUUUCAGCGGGGAGGAAGGGAGUAAAGUUAAUACCUUUGCUCAUUGACGUUACCCGCAGAAGAAGCACCGGCUAACUCCGUG